UACGAAGGGGGCUAGCGUUGUUCGGAAUUACUGGGCGUAAAGCGCGCGCAGGCGGUCUUCCAAGUCAGUGGUGAAAGCCCGGAGCUCAACUCCGGAAUUGCCGUUGAAACUGUUAGGACUUGAGGAUGAGAGAGGUGAGUGGAAUUCCCAGUGUAGAGGUGAAAUUCGUAGAUAUUGGGAAGAACACCGGUGGCGAAGGCGGCUCACUGGCUC
rnacentral:rRNA from 1 species